GAUGAACGCUGGCGGCGUGCCUAAUACAUGCAAGUCGAGCGAACAGACGAGGAGCUUGCUCCUCUGACGUUAGCGGCGGACGGGUGAGUAACACGUGGAUAACCUACCUAUAAGACUGGGAUAACUUCGGGAAACCGGAGCUAAUACCGGAUAAUAUAUUGAACCGCAUGGUUCAAUAGUGAAAGACGGUUUUGCUGUCACUUAUAGAUGGAUCCGCGCCGCAUUAGCUAGUUGGUAAGGUAACGGCUUACCAAGGCAACGAUGCGUAGCCGACCUGAGAGGGUGAUCGGCCACACUGGAACGGAGACACGGUCCAGACUCCUACGGGAGGCAGCAGUAGGGAAUCUUACGCAAUGGUCGAAAGCCUGACGGAGCAACGCCGCGUGAGUGAUGAAGGUCUUCGGAUCGUAAAACUCUGUUAUUAGGGAAGAACAAAUGUGUAAGUAACUAUGCACGUCUUGACGGUACCUAAUCAGAAAGCCACGGCUAACUACGUG
rnacentral:rRNA from 1 species